rnacentral:rRNA from 1 species
GAUGAACGCUGGCUACAGGCUUAACACAUGCAAGUCGAGGGGAAACGCCGGGGACGCUUGCUUCCCCGGGCGUCGACCGGCGCACGGGUGAGUAACGCGUAUCCAACCUGCCUCUGACUGAGGGCUAACCCGACGAGAGUCUGCCUAAUACCUCAUGGUAUCGUCUGCGGGCAUCCAACGACGAUUAAAGAUUUCAUCGGUCAGGGAUGGGGAUGCGUCUGAUUAGCUUGUUGGCGAGGUAACGGCCCACCAAGGCUACGUUCAGUAAGGGUGCUGGGAGGAAGCUCCACCAGAAUGGAACUGAGAUACGGUCCAAACUCGGACGCGAGGCAGCAGUGAGGAAUACUGGUGGAGGGGCGAGGGCCGGAACCAGCCAAGUAGCGUGCAGGAAGACGGCCAUAGGGGUUGUAAACUGCUUGGAUGCGGGGAUAAAGUGAGGGACGUGUCACUCAUUGCAGGUACCGAAUGAAUAAGGACCGGCUAAUUCCGUG